ensembl:snoRNA Gm24119 predicted gene, 24119
AACAUGCUUCCUUAGAUCCACCUUUGUGGAUGGAUCUUGAAUUGAGUUCUGCUUGUAAACUUCUUGUUUCUUGUAGUUCCAGUUCAAGAAACAUCCAGCAACUUUGUUGGUUGUACAGUCAAAGGUGCUUGAGUCAUUGGCAUGUGAGAUCAAUAUACCUGCAUGGUAGUCGCAGGUUCGGACGGAAAUGACUGCAUUAUGCUGUCAUGUGUUACCGUCAGGACUCGACUGGUGUGCGGACACU